AGUGAACGCUGGCGGUAGGCCUAACACAUGCAAGUCGAACGGCAGCACAGUAAGAGCUUGCUCUUACGGGUGGCGAGUGGCGGACGGGUGAGGAAUACAUCGGAAUCUACUUUUUCGUGGGGGAUAACGUAGGGAAACUUACGCUAAUACCGCAUACGACCUACGGGUGAAAGCAGGGGAUCUUCGGACCUUGCGCGAUUGAAUGAGCCGAUGUCGGAUUAGCUAGUUGGCGGGGUAAAGGCCCACCAAGUCGACGAUCCGUAGCUGGUCUGAGAGGAGGAUAAGCCGCAUGAGAAGUUAGACACGGUCCAUGCUCCUAAGGGAGGCAGCAGUGGGGAAUAUUGGACAAUAGGCGCAAGCCUGAUCCAGCCAUACCGCGUGGGUGAAGAAGGCCUUCGGGUUGUAAAGCCCUUUUGUUGGGAAAGAAAAGCAGCAGGUUAAUACCCCGCUGUUCUGACGGUACCCAAAGAACAAGCACCGGCUAACUUCGUG
rnacentral:rRNA from 1 species